GACGGAGGAUGCAAGUGUUGUCCGGAAUCACUGGGCGUAAAGCGUCUGUAGGUGGUCAAAUCAGUCAACUGUUAAAUCUUGAGGCUCAACCGCGGAAUCGCAGUCGAAACUAUUAGACUAGAGUAUAGUAGGGGUAAAGGGAAUUUCCAGUGGAGCGGUGAAAUGCGUAGAGAUUGGAAAGAACACCGAUGGCGAAGGCACUUUACUGGGCUAUGACUAACGCUCAGAGACGAAAGCGAGGGUAGCAAAUGGG
rnacentral:rRNA from 1 species